rnacentral:rRNA from 1 species
CCUACGGGGGGCAGCAGUAGGGAAUUUUCCGCAAUGGGCGAAAGCCUGACGGAGCAAUACCGCGUGAGGGAUGAAUGCCUAUGGGUUGUAAACCUCUUUUUUCAGGGAGGAACACAAUGACGUGUACCUGAAGAAUAAGCAUCGGCUAACUCCGUGCCAGCAGCCGCGGUAAGACGGAGGAUGCAAGUGUUAUCCGGAAUCACUGGGCGUAAAGCGUCUGUAGGUGGCUCGACAAGUCAACUGUUAAAUCUUGAAGCUCAACUUCAAAAUCGCAGUCGAAACUAUCGGACUAGAGUAUAGUAGAGGUAAAGGGAAUUUCCAGUGGAGCGGUGAAAUGCGUAGAGAUUGGAAAGAACACCGAUGGCGAAGGCACUUUACUGGGCUAUUACUGACACUCAGAGACGAAAGCUAGGGUAGCAAAUGGGAUUAGAUACCCCAGUAGUC